CCGACUUUAGCUCAGUUGCUAGAGCGGAGAACUGUAGUUGGAUAAUGUCUGUAGACAAUCCUUAGGUCGCUGGUUUGAAUCCGGCGGGUCGGA
rfam:Vigna angularis cultivar Jingnong 6 scaffold102_27, whole genome shotgun sequence.